rnacentral:rRNA from 1 species
CAACAGCAGCCGCGGGAAUACGUAGGGUGCAAGCGUUAAUCGGAAUUACUGGGCGUAAAGCGUGCGCAGGCGGUCCGCUAAGACAGAUGUGAAAUCCCCGAGCUUAACUUGGGAACUGCAUUUGAGACCGUAUGGCUAGAGUGUGUCAGAGGGGGGUAGAAUUCCACGUGUAGCAGUGAAAUGCGUAGAUAUGUAGAGGAAUACCGAUGGCGAAGGCAGCCCCCUGGGAUAACACUGACGCUCAUGCACGAAAGCGUGGGGAGCAAACAGGAUUAGAUACCCGAGUAGUCCCUGUCUCUUAUAC